AGUGAGCGCUGGCGGUAGGCCUAACACAUGCGAGUCGAACGGCAGCACAGUAAGAGCUUGCUCUUACGGGUGGCGAGUGGCGGACGGGUGAGGAAUACAUCGGAAUCUACUUUUUCGUGGGGGAUGACGUAGGGAAACUUACGCUAAUACCGCAUACGACCUACGGGUGAAAGCAGGGGAUCUUCGGACCUUGCGCGAUUGAAUGAGCCGAUGUCGGAUUAGCUAGUUGGCGGGGUAAAGGCCCACCAAGGCGACGAUCCGUAGCUGGUCUGAGAGGAUGAUCAGCCACACUGGAACUGAGACACGGUCCAGACUCCUACGGGAGGCAGCAGUGGGGAAUAUUGGACAAUGGGCGCAAGCCUGAUCCAGCCAUACCGCGUGGGUGAAGAAGGCCUUCGGGUUGUAAAGCCCUUUUGUUGGGAAAGAAAAGCAGCAGGUUAAUACCCCGCUGUUCUGACGGUACCCAAAGAAUAAGCACCGGCUAACUUCGUG
rnacentral:rRNA from 1 species